UCCACCAACCCCCCUCACCUCACCUAUAUAUUUUUAUCUGCUCUUUCUUCAUUUUCAUUUAUAUAUAAAAUAUAUAUAUAAAAUAAAAGUCCGCUUUUCUCGCAAUGGAACUUGUAACACCUCAAGUGGAGAAGAUGGGGGGAAGUAGUAAAGAGAUAACAAGGAAUUCGACGUUAAUUUGUGCACCGAUAAUGGCGGAUACGGUGGAUCAGAUGUUGAUUCAGAUGAAUUCUGCCAAAAUAAGUGGUGCUGAUUUGGUUGAAAUCAGAUUGGAUAGUUUGAAAGGGUUUAGUGCAAGGGAGGAUACUCAAACCCUUAUUAAACUUAGUCCUUUACCGACGCUUUUUACGUACAGACCAACAUGGGAAGGUGGUCAGUAUGAUGGAGAUGAACAGAGCCGAUUGGCUGCUCUCCGGUUAGCGAUGGAGUUAGGAGCUGAUCACAUUGAUGUUGAGCUAAAGGCUGUUGAUGAUUUUAACAAUUUAAUCCGUGGAGAUAAGGCUACAAAAUGUAAACUUAUAGUUUCUUCCCACAAUUAUAAAAAUACUCCAUCAGUAGAAGAGUUGGGCAACCUUGUGGCGAAAAUACAAUCAACAGGGGCUGACAUAGUGAAGUUUGCAACAACCGCUGUAGAUAUAACUGAUGUAGCACGGGUUUUUCAAAUAACUGCUAAUUCUCAAGUAAGCGGCGUUCCAAUUAUAGCAAUGGUGAUGGGUGAGAAGGGUUUGAUGUCUAGAGUACUCUGCCCAAAAUUUGGUGGAUAUUUGACAUUUGGUACCCUUGAACAUGGAAAGGUAUCUGCACCUGGGCAGCCUACAAUUAGGGAUCUUUUGGACUUGUUCAACUUUAGGCAGUUGGGGCCUGACACAAAAGUAUUUGGUAUUAUCGGGAAGCCAGUUGGGCAUAGCAAAUCACCUAUGUUAUACAAUCAUGCUUUCAGAUCAGUUGGCUUCAAUGGUGUUUAUGUACAUUUGUUAGUGGAUAAUGUGAAGAAUUUUCUGGAGACAUACUCAUCUAUCGAUUUUGCUGGUUUCAGUUGUACCAUUCCUCACAAAGAAUCGUUACUUCAAUGUUGUGAUGAGGUUGAUCCAGUUGCCAAGUCGAUAGGAGCAGUUAAUUGUGCUAUCAGGCGACCAAAUGAUGGGAAGUUGUACGGCUGUAAUACCGACUAUGUUGGUGCUAUUUCUGCUAUCGAGGAUGGUCUACGAGGUUCAGGCAUUCAGAAUGGUGCAACUGGGUCACCCUUAGCCGGUAGACUAUUUGUAGUAAUUGGUGCUGGUGGUGCUGGAAAAGCACUUGCCUAUGGAGCAAAAGCGAAGGGUGCAAGAAUUGUGAUAGCCAAUCGGACUUAUGAUCGUGCUAGAGAAAUUGCUGAGAUAAUUGGUGGAGAAGCAUUGUCUCUUGCUGAUCUAAAUACUUACAGCCCAGAAGAGGGCAUGAUACUUGCAAACACUACUUCAAUUGGUAUGCAGCCGAAAGUUGACGAGACUCCUGUUUUGAAGGAAGCUUUGAAGUCUUAUGCUCUGGUAUUUGAUGCUGUUUACACACCGAAAAUUACCAGAUUACUCCGGGAAGCAGGAGAAUGUGGAGCUACAAUUGUAACAGGGGUGGAGAUGUUUAUAGGGCAGGCAUACGAACAAUAUGAGAGAUUUACAGGCUUGCCUGCACCUAAGGAAUUAUUUAGGGAGAUUAUGGAAAGAUCUUGAUUGUCUUGGGUAAUCUUCUAGGUAAAUGGGUCCACAUUGACUUUGAAUGAAAUGCCCUGUCUUCUGCUGAAGUUUGGGUACUUGUAUACAGAAUAGAGACACUAACACUGGAGGCUUCAAACCAAUAUGUGUUGUGCAAAAUGAUACACAUAUGAAGCAUGCAGAUUACGAGUGUAAAGAAGAGAUUGAUUUUAUGAAGUUAUUGUGUUGAUUAGAAGAAUAAAAGAAAAUAUUUGGUGGUUGUUCUUCUCGUCUCUUCGCUUGUGAAGAAAUGUGGAGAAAUUGGAUUUGUGAAGCAAAAUUUCUCCUCGACUUCAUUAUGGAGAAAUUGACGGACUAAACAAAAUGAGGGUUGCAGUCUAUGAUCUGGUCCUUGAUGCUGCUGCUGCUGCCAUCUGCGACCAGUUGACUCCUAAACAAAUUCUCAAGACCUUCAAAGCGAUCCCUAAUUUUUAUCUUUUGAACCACCGCAGUCCCAGUUUGGGCUUUUGCUAUAAAUCGUACUCGAUCAUUAUGUCGACAAGUAAAUAAGGUUCCACUUUGUUUCAUUAUAAUAGCUCUUAGGUAUGUUAUCUUUUUCUGUCAAUGAAGGGUAUCCUACCUUAUAACUA